rnacentral:misc_RNA from 1 species
GUGGAACUCUCAUUUGUCCCUUUCGGGCAGGGGGAGCUCCUCCUCCUUACCUGGAUUGUGAGUUUAAUCCUCUCCUCACAAAUUAGGGAUUGUACAUAGGCUUUUUGAGUUCUUUUGUGGCUUCGUUGGUCUGAGCCUUAAACGGAGAGGAUUUUUAAUGUGGGGAACCUGCGUUUGUGUUGUGAUGAAUUUCUUCUUUUAUUUAUGCUACUAGUUGUUAGUGUUGGUUUUGCAGGAGAGAGUGAGAAUCUCCUUAAGGUUGGUA